UACGGAGGGUGCAAGCGUUAUCCGGAUUCACUGGGUUUAAAGGGUGCGUAGGCGGACAGGUAAGUCAGUGGUGAAAUCUCUGGGCUUAACUCAGAAACUGCCGUUGAUACUAUUUGUCUUGAAUAUCUUGGAGGUAAGCGGAAUAUGUCAUGUAGCGGUGAAAUGCUUAGAUAUGACAUAGAACACCAAUUGCGAAGGCAGCUGGCUACACGAAUAUUGACACUCAGGCACGAAAGCGUGGGGAUCAAACAGG
rnacentral:rRNA from 1 species